rnacentral:lncRNA from 1 species
UUUGUGUCUGUCAUAUCCAAGCAUGUAUGUCAGGCAUAUGCAUAAUAAUGCAUGCAGUAUAUGAAUUCAUAUCAUAUGUACAUAUACAGAACACUUUUUCUAGACGCAUGGCAAGCAACAAAGAUGAAUUAGGAAUAUGAAGAUCGCAUGUGAAUUCAAGAAAGAAAUACUACUACUAGUGCUUGAAACUUGAAAGAUGGUGUUGGCAAGUUGGGAAACAAAAUGGGACCCUUAUGCACCACUCCAUUGUUGAAGGGUCAUUCUCAAUUCCUAACUUUAUGUUCGUCAAAGUCAAAUUUCUCCAACAUCGUUCAUCAUUCUCAAAGAGCCACGGAUGGAUUAAAGAGAAAUUUAAUUUGGUCCCUCUCUUUGUCUUCACUAUAUGUGUUGUAAAAGAAAAUUAAUAAGACUUGAAUGGCACGCACCAAAAGCUACUUUUUCUGCAAACGCGUAUAUGUUUCUAUGUGUUUUUGAUUCCUUCUAUCCAAAUUCAAAUCCUCAUUGCAUGCUUGCUACU